GAUGAACGCUAGCUACAGGCUUAACACAUGCAAGUCGAGGGGUAACGAGAGGAAAGCUUGCUUUCCUUGUCGACGACCGGCGCACGGGUGAGUAACGCGUAUCCAACCUGCCCCCAACUAGGGAAUAACCUUGCGAAAGUAAGACUAAUACCCUAUAAUUUCCUCAGAUGUCAUCUGACGAGGAAUAAAGAUUUAUCGGUUGUGGAUGGGGAUGCGUCUGAUUAGGUUGUUGGCGGGGUAACGGCCCACCAAGGCAAAGAUCAGUAGGGGUUGUGAGAGGAAGGUCCCCCACAUUGGAACUGAGACACGGUCCAAACUCCUACGGGAGGCAGCAGUCAGGAAUAUUGGUCAAUGGGCGGAAGCCUGAACCAGCCAAGUAGCGUGCAGGAUGACGGCCCUAUGGGUUGUAAACUGCUUUUAUACAGGAAUAAAGUUAGCCACGUGUGGUUAUUUGUAGGUACUGUAUGAAUAAGGACCGGCUAAUUCCGUGCCAGCCGCCGCAGUAA
rnacentral:rRNA from 1 species